UACAGAGGUCUCAAGCGUUGUUCGGAUUCAUUGGGCGUAAAGGGUGCGUAGGCGGCGCGGUAAGUCGGGUGUGAAAUCUCGGAGCUUAACUCCGAAACUGCAUUCGAUACUGCCGUGCUUGAGGACUGGAGAGGAGACUGGAAUUUACGGUGUAGCGGUGAAAUGCGUAGAUAUCUGGAGGAACACCGGUGGCGAAGGCGGCGUUCUGGACUGCAACUGACACUGAUAAACGAAAGCCAGGGGAGCAAACGGG
rnacentral:rRNA from 1 species